AAUAACUACUCCUCCAUUGUGAAAUGAAAACUAGGCAAAGGCGAAUUUCAUUUCAAACGUUAUAAACGGUAUGUAUUUAUUAAGCCAAAUCAAAAAUUCAUUGCCAGACAAAGUUCAAUCAAACGAAAAAAGCAAAGAAAACAAAACAAGGAAUUGUAUAGUGGCAAUUAAAAAAACUUCAAUUAUAUAGACUCCUCUCCUUCAAAGCGAAAAAUAGUAAUAAAAUUCUCCUUCCUCCACAGGUGUAUUGGGUCUUCCCUUGGUGUCUGGCCUUCCUUCAGGGUCGUCUCUCCUAACUGGAGUCAGUGCUGGGGCGGCUGAGCAGUGCCCACGCUUUCCUCUUGUCUGUCCGUCCGUCUGGUUGUGGUAAGUAUGUGUAUUCCGGCUGUAUUGUAUUUCCCGUAAAUAAAAGCUUUGGCUUUUUUUUUAUGUCUUAUAUGUUUAUUUUUUUUUUAAAGGCCUAAGUUCGCAAAGCGAACACCAACAGCAGUAAGGGCUCCUUUCCGCCCCAAAGGUCUAGAAUCUUUACCCCCUGGCCCUAGGUUGAGCUCGACCUAACAGCUGAGGACAGCGCCUAUUUAUUCUAGCGCUGUGUUACUUAUAGAAAGGAAAUAUGUGUGUCAAGGUCCUGUCCGUCCGUCUAAGUUCACGUAUACGUCCCGCAAUAGUGUUUGUGAGGAAAAGGGUACCUGCAGCACUGUCGGCCGACCAGUGCUUUUGAUAUAGAGCUUCCCACGAUGGACAGAGGAGGUGGAGGUGUAGCUUUAUGUUUUCGCGUUUGGCUUUUUGUUAUUUUGUGAUCAACUUUAGUGGUGUCUAUUGUCUUUGAUUUUCAAGUUUAGGAUUUUUAACUAUUGACUUUGAUUUAGUUUUUAGUUUUUUUUUUCUUUUCAGGUCUUUUAUUAUUACAUUGGUAUUUUCCUUUUUUUUCAGGUUCUUUGGCUUUGUUUCGAAACUCUUCCCUUUUCAGGUUCCUUUUUAUUUAAUUUGAUAACAUUUCUUUUUUUUUCCAGAGUUUUCAUAGAUUUUCUUUUUCAGCUUUUAAUAACUUUCAGUUCGAUUUAUUUUAAUCCCUUUUUUUUAAUAAUCUUCUUUUUCAGCUCUUUAGUUUUUAAUUUGUAUUUAUUUUCAUUUAUUUUGUUUCAGCUUUUAAAACUUCUCAAUAAUUUAUAGUUAAUUUUUUUCCUCUUUCAGCAAAUGUGCUGAAAGUUCAAUAAAUCACUUUAAAACUUUGAAUUUGGUCUUUUUCUUUGUUGUUGGGUAAAAGCCAGUUCCACCUCCUUUUCUCUGCCGAAUCCAAAACCAAAAA
rnacentral:sRNA from 1 species